GCCUACUAAUACUUACAUUAACAUUUUCUGCGGGAAGUUUUACCUGUAUUUUACCUCACACCUUGCAAAUAAGAGUUUCCUCUGCUUUUCACAUUCAGAUUCUUUGAGAGAGAGAAAAUGCUGAAGUCUUGCAAUAAAAUGCAUUACCAUAAAUGAGCUGCUGGCCAAGCCACACAGGAAAUGCAGAUCUAUAUUAACAUCUGAAACAGCUGAGAAGCUGUAGUCUUAAGGGCUGACCCCAGGAAUCAUGUAUGAAUGUCUGAAUACGAGUGCAAAUUCAGUCCUCGGAAGCAGAGGGUUUGCAGGAGAAACUUUCAGCUGUACCCCAGACUGCUCUCUGUGUUUGGGAACCUGCCUCAUCUGCUGUCUUUAGGAUAAAGUAAAUUCCCCUUUCCCUUGCUUCCUUAUAGAAAAGGGACAAGGUUAAGAAACAGCCUGUUGGAAACCCUGGCUAAGGUGGGAUUUCUGUUUCUAUUAACCUAUGGGAACAGUACAAACUCAGGCUGAAAUAUAAUCAAUUAAAUCAAUGGUAUUUAUCUUUACUCUUCAGAUUUCAUCUUCAGUCUUUUCUUGUGACUUUCUCCCAUAUGAACUUCCAUGGCAGGGUAGAGGUUGAAGGGAGUUAUCUGUACAAAAAAAAAAAAAAAAAAAAAAAAAAAAAAAAAAAAAAAUCUAAAGCUUCUAACACGUGUUUAUAAAUAAUAGGUCUGUUGUUUUAAAUCUACUUCAUCUGAAACGUGUAAUUCUGACCAUGCUCUUCCUGGGUACAGGGGUCAGCCUCUCAAGGUUUGGUUCAGAACAGGCAUAAGAAGGAGGCUUACUCUUUUAUUCUUCUCAGCUGAACAGAAUUAGUCAUUUUUUAGUGUUUCCUGAUGUCCGUUCCCCCUUGUUCUCUCAGAUUAACCCUGCUUCUCUUCCCCUCCUGCUCUGGUUUCCUAUCUGUACCUGUAGCAGAAGUCCUCAGCAGGCUGCAAAGCACUCAGAUGGUGUGGGCAGACUUCUGGACCCAAAGAAGCACGUCCAUCCUUGGCCGAAUGCCACAGCCUAAUGCGUUCUGCACAUUAACUUCUGCCUCACUCUCCCAGGUGAAACAAGCAUUGUAGGUGUUUUACCAGCAUAGAAAUGGACAGGCUUAUGUGCACUGAUAAAGUAUGCCAUCAUUUGGCUUUGGUGACAGGGCGCAUUCUCAUUAAUACUACAUGUCGUGCAUGUCACCACCCAGACAGUUCCACCUGCAUGCAGAGCUGGUAAGUGUUGCCCUGAUUCUGCAGGGGAUUUCCCAGGUCAUGGCACUUUCCUCGGCAGCAGCAGUGCUCACAUUCCUGGAAAUCCUAUCCCGCGCUAGGUAACAGGAGGCUCAGGACUCCAGCCUCAUCCAGAGAACAAAUUCCAGAAGCGCAGCACAGAUUGCAGACCCUAUCGGGAAUGCAUCACAACAACAAAGUUUCUAAUUUUGGGACUCAGUACCAUUAUUCUUCAUCUCAGGUCAAAAGUAAUUUCUUAUGGGAAAAUAUGUGAGUCAAAUCCUUUCUGUUUCUUUAACCACUAGGCAGUAUCAGGGCAGAGGAAGCAGUACCAGCUUGCACAAGCAGGCUGCAGAGCAGACGGACACGCUUGUAUGACGGCGCGGGGUCCCUCUCACAUACGUGCACACAUGCUCACACGCAGAGUCAUUCCUAACCUAUUACAGAAUGUGUUUGUCUGUCGGCUCUCGUAUUUUUAGCAUUUAUUUUUGCGAUACUGACUUUAUGUCCCACUGAGCAGGGGAGACAUUAUGAAAGCAGCAGCCUCGUGGCAGUGCAGAAGUAUUUCCCAUCUUCCUUCCCAUCCGAAAUUCUGUUUGGAAGAUACUAACAAACAGGUAUUUCUUACCUCUCAGACCUGCUGUUUG
ensembl:lncRNA